rnacentral:rRNA from 1 species
CAAUAGCGUAUAUUUAAGUUGUUGCAGUUAAAAAGCUCGUAGUUGGAUUUCGGAUGGGAUUUGCCGGUCCGUCGUUACGAUGUGCACUGGCCAGUCCUAUCUUGUUGUCGGGGACUAGCUCCUUGGAUUCACUUCCUGGGACUAGGAGCUGACGAGGUUACUUUGAGGAAAUUAGAGUGUUCAAAGCAAGCCUACGCUCUGAAUACAUUAGCAUGGAAUAACACGAUAGGACUCUGGCUUAUCUUGUUGGUCUGUGAGACCAGAGUAAUGAUUAAGAGGGACAGUCGGGGACAUUCGUAUUUCAUUGUCAGAGGUGAAAUUCUUGGAUUUAUGAAAGACGAACUUCUGCGAAAGCAUUUGUCAAGGAUGUUUUCAUUAA